rnacentral:rRNA from 1 species
UACAGAGGUCUCAAGCGUUGUUCGGAUUCAUUGGGCGUAAAGAGCUCGUAGGCGGUUUGUCGCGUCUGCCGUGAAAACCCGAGGCUUAACCUCGUGGCUUGCGGUGGAUACGGGCAGACUAGAGGUAGGUAGGGGAGAAUGGAAUUCCCGGUGUAGCGGUGAAAUGCGCAGAUAUCAGGAGGAACACCGGUGGCGAAGGCGGUUCUCUGGGCCUUACCUGACGCUGAGGAGCGAAAGCGUGGGGAGCGAACAGG